GUUGACGGUCUCCUCUCCUGCCUCCUGCGGCUUCCAUUACCAUGGCAGAGACUGUGGUGUCUGAGGUGGUGUAGCGUACUGAAGCAAGGCUGUCUUGAAGAAGAGGAGACAACUCACAAUUCUACCACCUUUGUUGACCUCUUCUUCCCCCCAACUUAUUGCUGUAGAGGCUACCUGAGCUCAUUGUCCCUGGAGAUGGACCAAAUAGAAGAAUAAGCAGUGCCUGUGUGCUGAAGGUAAAGAAAUUUCAUGUGGUGGAUUCCUACAAAAGAAAAAGCUGCAAAAGAGUCAACCAGGAAAGGUGCUAGACACACAUCCAAUGGCUGCUGAGUGAUGAAUGAGAAAGAAACCUUCGGUGUAGUAAGCCAUUGAAAUUUGGGGGAAAUUUGUAAUAGCUGUUGCUGUAAACCUCCGCACUGCAAAACACACACAUCCUAGAUAAUUAAAAGACAACUUCUACCAGA
ensembl:lncRNA AHI1-DT AHI1 divergent transcript